rnacentral:rRNA from 1 species
GCACCCUGAACGCAGCAANGCCGCGUGGAUGAAGAAGGCCUUCGGGUUGUAAAGUCCUUUCGUGGGGGACGAAAAGGCGGGUCCUAAUACGAUCUGCUGUUGACGUGAACCCAAGAAGAAGCACCGGCUAACUCCGUGCCAGCAGCCGCGGUAAUACGGGGGGUGCAAGCGUUAAUCGGAAUCACUGGGCGUAAAGGGUGCGUAGGCGGUACGUUAGGUCUGUCGUGAAAUCCCCGGGCUCAACCUGGGAAUGGCGGUAGAAACCGGCGCACUAGAGUAUGGGAGAGGGUGGUGGAAUUCCAGGUGUAGCGGUGAAAUGCGUAGAGAUCUGGAGGAACAUCAGUGGCGAAGGCGGCCACCUGGCCCAAUACUGAC